rnacentral:lncRNA from 1 species
AUGGCUGAUUCUGAGAAAGGCAAGAAAAUUUUUCUUCAGAUGUGUGCCCAGUGCCACACUGUGGAAAAGGGAAGCAAGCACAAGACUGGGCCUAAACUCCAUGGUCUCUUCAGGUGGAGGACAUGUCAGUCCAUUGGAUUAUCUUAACAUAGAGAUUGAUAAGAACAAAGCCAUCACCUGGGGAGAGGAUACACUGAUAGAGUAUUUUGAGAAUUCCAGGAAGUACAUUCCUGGAACAAAAAUGAUCUUUGCCAGCAUUAAGAACAAUGCAGAAAGGGCAGACUUGAUAGCUUAUCUCAAAAAAGCUACUAGUGAGUAA